rnacentral:rRNA from 1 species
AGUGAACGCUGGCGGCAGGCCUAACACAUGCAAGUCGAACGGCAGCACAGUAAGAUCUUGCUCUUACGGGUGGCGAGUGGCGGACGGGUGAGGAAUACAUCGGAAUCUACUCUUUCGUGGGGGAUAACGAAGGGAAACUUACUCUAAUACCGCAUACGACGUACGGUGGAAAGCAUGGGAUAGUCUGACCUUGCGGGAUUGGAUGCGCCGAUGUCGGGUUAGCUGGUUGGGGGGGUAAAGGCCUAGCAAGGCGACGAUCGGUGGCUGGUGUGAGAGGAUGGUCGGCCACACUGGAACGGAGACACGGUCCAUGCUCCUACGGGAGGCAGCAGUGGGGAAUAUUGGGCAGUGGGCGCAAGCCUGAUCCAGCCAUCCCGCGUGGGUGACGAAGGCCCUCGGUUCGUAAAGCCCUUUUGUUGGGUAAGAAACGCAGCAGGUUGAUACGCCGCUUUUCUGACGGUACUCAAAGAAUAAGCACCGGCUAACUUCGUG